CCCAGGUGAGCAUCAGACUGCCUGGAAUAGCACCCCACAACCCCAUGUGAGAAUCUGACAACCUGGAACUGCACCGCACACCCCCAGGUGAGCAUUUGACAUUCUGGAACAGCACCCUACACCCCAACGUGAGCAUCUGACAUCCUGGAACAGCACCCCACACCUCCAGGUGAGCAUCUGACAGCCUGGAGCAGCACACCACACCCCCAGGUGAGCAUCUGACAGCCUUGAACCGCACCCCACACCCCCACGUGAGCAUCUGACAGCCUGGAACAGCACCCCAGACUUCCAGGUGAGCGUCUGACAGCCUGGAAUAGCACCCCACACCGCCAGGUGAGCAUCUGAUAGCCUGGAACAGCACCCACACGCCCAGGUGAGCAUCUGACAUCCUGGAACAGCACCCCACUCCCCCAGGUGAGCAUCUGACAGCCUGGAACAGCACCCCACUCCCCCAGGUGAGCAUCUGACAGCCUGGAACAGUACCCCACACCCGCAGGUGAGCAUCUGACAGCCUGGAACAGUACCCCACACCCGCAGGUGAGCAUCUGACAGCCUGGAACACCACCCCACACCCCCAGGUGAGCAUGUGACAGCCUGGAACAGCACCCCAUACCCCCAGGUGAGCAUCUGACAUCCUGGAACAGCACCCCACACCCGUGGUGAGCAUCUGACAGCCUGGAACCGCAUCCUACACACCCACGUGACCAUCUAACAUCCUGGAAUCGUACCCCACACCCCCAGGUGAGCAUCUAACAGCCUGGAGCAUCACCCCACACAUCCAGGGGAGCAUCUGACCGCCUGGAACAGCACGCCACGCCCCCACGAGAGCAUCUGACAGUCUGGAACAGCACCCCACACCUCCAGGUGAGCAUCCGACAGCCUGAAGCAGCACCCACACCCCCAGGCGAGCAUCUGACAUCCUGGAACAGCACCCCACACCCCCAGUUGAGCAUCUGACAGCCUGGAACAGCACCACACACCCCCAGGUGACCAUCUGACAUCCUGGAACAGCACCCCACAAUCCCAGGUGAGCAUCUGACAGCCUUGAACAGCAUCCCACACCCACAGGUGAGCAUCUGACAACCUGGAACAGCACCCCACACCCCAAGUUCAGCAUCUGACAGUCUGGAACGACACCCUACACCCCCACGUGAGCAUGUGACAUCCUGGAACAGCACCCCGCACCCCCACCUGAGCAUCUGACAGCCUGGAGCAGCACCCCACACCUCCAGGGGAGAAUCUGACAGCCUGGAACAGCACCCCACACCCCCACGUGAGCAUCUGACAGGCUGAAACAGCACCCCACACCUCCAGGUGGGCAUCCGACAGCCUGGAGCAGCACCCGCAUCCCAGGUGAGCAUCCGACAGCCUGGAACAGCAGCUCACAUCCCCAGAGGAGCAUCUGAUGGUCUGCAACAGCACCCUAAAACUUCAGGUGAGGAUCUGACAGCCUGGAAGAGCAGUGCCUACCCCCGAGUUAGCAUCUGACAGCACACAGCAGCACUCCCAAUGCCAAGGAGACCAUCUGGCAGUGUGAAACAGCACCCCACACCCCCAGAUGAGCAUCUGAAAGCCUACAACUAGCCCCUGCCCGAGAUGAGCAUCUCACAGCCUGGAACUCCACGCCCACUGCCAGGUGAGCAUCUGAUGGCCUGGAACAGCACCACACAUCCCCAGGUGAGCCUCUGACAGCCUGGAACAGCACCCUCCACCUUCAGGUGAGAAUAUGACAGCCUGAAACAGCACCCCACACCCCAGGCAACAAUCUGACAGCAUGGAACAAGACCACCGCCCCCAGGUGAACAUCUGAUAGCCUGGAACAGAACCCCAGUUCUCCAAGUAAGCAUCUGAAAGCAAGGAACAGCACUCUCACCCCCAGGGGAGCAUCUGACAACCUAGAACAGCACCCUCACCCCGAGGUGGGCAUCUGGCAGCAUAAAACAGCACCCCUACUGGCAGAUGAGCAUAUGACAGCCUGGAACAGCACCCCACAGCCCCAGGUGAGCAUCUGGGUCCGGCACCUGUAGGCAGUUUCCAAGGAUCCCUUGUGGCCACAUCCAGCUGUUAAAUGGGCAUGUCCCUGGCAGCCACAGAUGUCUGUCCAGUGCAGGAAAGUCUGUCCAGUGCAGGAAAGGGCAGGCAGAGAGCUGGCUCCCAGCCCCAAA